rnacentral:rRNA from 1 species
UAGGGAAUCUUGCGCAAUGGGCGAAAGCCUGACGCAGCAACGCCGCGUGGGGGAUGAAGGCUCUCGGGUUGUAAACCCCUUUCAGGAGGGACGAAAAUGACGGUACCUCCAGAAGAAGCCCCGGCCAACUACGUGCCAGCAGCCGCGGUAACACGUAGGGGGCGAGCGUUGUCCGGAUUUAUUGGGCGUAAAGAGCUCGUAGGUGGCUUAGUAAGUCGGGUGUGAAAUCCAGAGGCUCAACCUCUGGACGCCACUCGAUACUGCUAUAGCUAGAGUACGGUAGAGGAGCGUGGAAUUUCUGGUGUAGCGGUGGAAUGCGCAGAUAUCAGAAGGAACACCGACGGCGAAGGCAGCGCUCUGGGCCGAAACUGACACUGAGGAGCGAAAGCAUGGGGAGCAAACAGGAUUAGAUACCCGCGUAGUCC